GGUUCGAUGGUGUAGUUGGUUAUCACGUCUGUCUCACAUUUGAUGCUGUGCGCACAGGAGGUCUCCGGUUCGAGCCCGGGUCGAACCA